rnacentral:rRNA from 1 species
UGAGGAAUAUUGGUCAAUGGGCGAGAGCCUGAACCAGCCAAGUAGCGUGCAGGAUGACGGCCCUAUGGGUUGUAAACUGCUUUUAUGUGGGGAUAAAGUGCGUGACGUGUCAUGCAUUGCAGGUACCACAUGAAUAAGGACCGGCUAAUUCCGUGCCAGCAGCCGCGGUAAUACGGAAGGUCCGGGCGUUAUCCGGAUUUAUUGGGUUUAAAGGGAGCGUAGGCUGUCUAUUAAGCGUGUUGUGAAAUAUACCGGCUCAACCGGUGGCUUGCAGCGCGAACUGGUCGACUUGAGUAUGCAGGAAGUAGGCGGAAUUCAUGGUGUAGCGGUGAAAUGCUUAGAUAUCAUGACGAACUCCGAUUGCGCAGGCAGCUUACUGUAGCAUAACUGACGCAGAUGCUCGAAAGUGCGGGUAUCAAACAGG